rnacentral:rRNA from 1 species
UACAGAGGGUGCGAGCGUUGUCCGGAAUUAUUGGGCGUAAAGAGCGCGUAGGCGGUCCGAUAAGUCGGCUGUGAAAGUCAGGGGCUCAACCCUUGGAAGCCGGCCGAUACUGUCGGACUAGAGUCCGGAAGAGGCGAGUGGAAUUCCCGGUGUAGCGGUGAAAUGCGCAGAUAUCGGGAGGAACACCAAUGGCGAAGGCAGCUCGCUGGGACGGUACUGACGCUGAGGCGCGAAAGCGUGGGGAGCAAACAGG